AUACUUACCUGGCAAGGGAGACACCGUGAUCAAGAAGGCGGUUCACCCAGGGCGAGGCUCAGCCAUUGCACUCCGGCUGUGCUGACCCCUGUGAAUUUCCCAAAUGUGGAAAUCUCGAUUGCAUAAUUUCUGGUAGUGGGGGACUGCGUUCGCGCUCUCCCCUG
rnacentral:snRNA from 8 species